UACGGGGGGGGCAAGCGUUGUUCGGAAUUACUGGGCGUAAAGGGCUCGUAGGCGGCCAACUAAGUCCGACGUGAAAUCCCCAGGCUUAACCUGGGAACUGCGUCGGAUACUGGAGGGCUUGAAUUCGGGAGAGGGAUGCAGAAUUCCAGGUGUAGCGGUGAAAUGCGUAGAUAUCUGGAGGAAUACCGGUGGCGAAGGCAGCUAACUAGGCUGUAACUGACGCUGAGGCACGAAAGCGUGGGGAGCGAACAGG
rnacentral:rRNA from 1 species